rnacentral:rRNA from 1 species
GACGAACGCUGGCGGCGUGCUUAACACAUGCAAGUCGAACGGAAAGGCCCUGCUUUUGUGGGGUGCUCGAGUGGCGAACGGGUGCGUAACACGUGAGUAACCUGCCCUUGACUUUGGGAUAACUUCAGGAAACUGGGGCUAAUACCGGAUCGGAGAUCCUGCUCCAUGGUGGGGGUUGGAACGUUUCGGCGGGUGGGGAUGGACUCGCGGCUUAUCAGCUUGUUGGUGGGGUAGUGGCUUACCAAGGCUUUGACGGGUAGCCGGCCUGAGAGGGUGACCGGCCACAUUGGGACUGAGAGACGGCCCAGACUCGUACGGGAGGCAGCAGUGGGGAAUAUUGUACAAUGGGCGGAAGCCUGAUGCAGCAACGCUGCGUUCGGGAUGACGGCCUUCGGGUUGUAAACCGCUUUCGCCUGUGACGAAGCGGGAGUGACGGUAAUGGGUAAAGAAGCACCGGCUAACUACGUG